UAUACCGGUAUUCAUAAUGUCCAUCAAUAUUAAAGUGAUGCUUAUUUAGGUGAGGAAAAACUGCCUCGAAGAUGUAAGUCCGGGAGACUCCUGCAUCGAACAAUGAGGGUUGAGGCAGGAGACCGUAGUUGACUGGCCGUCGUGGAGUAGUAGUGGCGAAUGGCGGUGAGCAGCUGGGACUAUCUGCAUAUGUAACGAACUCCUGGUCUGCAAGAUUGAUAUAGAUUCUAGCAGAGUCUCCACCACCACCACCACCACCACCACCACCAUGACCUUCCUGGAGGAGGCGAUGGGGGCGGCUGGCUUCGAGGAGCAACUUUAUGUAACUGGCUUCACUACAUCAGGACGAUUACACUUCCCUGGACGACUCGAUGGCUUGUGGCUUGUGACGAGGCCGGAGACGAGGAGGGGCAGCCUGUGAGAUGCUUGAAAGAACUCAUCCAAUUAGUCUGCCUUGCUGUGCCUUCAGAAGUGGCGUCCAGCAGCCGUACACGCCGCCGCACGUCACUCAGCCUCCUCCGUCGAGUGUCUCAUCGAGGGAUCGUGACGUAGCAGGAGGGAAGGAAGAGAGGACGGGAAGUGUCUUCGCGGUAUCAAAUUGCUGGUUUUUGCCUCUGGACUCUUGCGUAUGCCAGCACAGGUGAGGGAGGAGCCAGCACAGAUACAAGAUGGUUCAGAAUUUACCACUGCAGAAGCACCAAUCAAUGGAGCAGCUCCUCACACUAUGCUACACCACUGACAUGUGACAUCUUUUACUGCUCGCAUUUCAAACCACGUCUUAAUCUCUUUGAAG
rnacentral:lncRNA from 1 species